UGGGGAAUUUUGGACAAUGGGCGCAAGCCUGAUCCAGCCAUUCCGCGUGAGUGAAGAAGGCCUUCGGGUUGUAAAGCUCUUUCGCAAGGGAAGAAAACUUACUUUUUAAUAAAGAGUGAGGUUGACGGUACCUUGAUAAGAAGCACCGGCUAACUACGUGCCAGCAGCCGCGGUAAUACGUAGGGUGCGAGCGUUAAUCGGAAUUACUGGGCGUAAAGCGUGCGCAGGCGGUUUUGUAAGUCAGAUGUGAAAUCCCCGAGCUCAACUUGGGAACUGCGUUUGAAACUACAAGACUAGAAUAUGUCAGAGGGGGGUAGAAUUCCACGUGUAGCAGUGAAAUGCGUAGAGAUGUGGAGGAAUACCAAUGGCGAAGGCAGCCCCCUGGGAUAACACUGACGCUCAUGCACGAAAGCGUGGGGAGCAAACAGG
rnacentral:rRNA from 1 species